rnacentral:rRNA from 1 species
AUGAACGCUGGCGGCGUGCCUCAUACAUGCAAGUCGAGCGAACGGACGAGAGGCUUGCUUCUCUGAUGUUAGCGGCGGACGGGUGAGUAACACGUGGAUAACCUACCUAUAAGACUGGGAUAACUUCGGGAAACCGGAGCUAAUACCGGAUAAUAUUUUGAACCGCAUGGUUCAAAAGUGAAAGACGGUCUUGCUGUCACUUAUAGAUGGAUCCGCGCUGCAUUAGCUAGUUGGUAAGGUAACGGCUUACCAAGGCAACGAUGCAUAGCCGACCUGAGAGGGUGAUCGGCCACACUGGAACUGAGACACGGUCCAGACUCCUACGGGAGGCAGCAGCAGGGAAUCUUCCGCAAUGGGCGAAAGCCUGACGGAGCAACGCCGCGUGAGUGAUGAAGGUCUUCGGAUCGUAAAACUCUGUUAUUAGGGAAGAACAUAUGUGUAAGUAACUGUGCACAUCUUGACGGUACCUAAUCAGAAAGCCACGGCUAACUACGUG